rnacentral:sRNA from 1 species
ACUUAGGUAAAUCAAAAAAAUUCGGCUAUUGGCGAGAUACGCAUUUACGAAUUGUCGGGGACGCAGUGAAUGCAUUGCAAUUACGAUUUAUUCUAGAUUGGAAUUCACAAGCCACACGUGACCACAUCUCCUAUGA